rnacentral:tRNA from 2 species
AGCGGCUUGCGGUGCUGGAUGCCGGCAUUGUUGACGACGAUGUCGACCGCGAUGUUCUUCUUGUCGAAGUCGUUG